UCUGGUUGAUCCUGCCAGUAGUCAUAUGCUUGUCUCAAAGAUUAAGCCAUGCAUGUCUCAGUGCAAGCCGUCUAGUACGGUGAAACCGCGAAAGGCUCAUUAAAUCAGUUAUGGUUCCUUAGAUUGUACCCACGUUACUUGGAUAACUGUGGUAAUUCUAGAGCUAAUACAUGCCGACAGAGUUCCAACCAAUUGUACAGCUUCGGCUGUGCGAUAAGGAAGGAACGCUUUUAUUAGAUCAAAACCGGCUAAGCGGCGGCCGCUCUUCGGACGGCCGUCGUUAGUGGCCUGCGCAAAGAUUUGGUGACUCUGAAUAACUUCGAGCUGAUCGCACGGUCUCGUACCGGCGACGUAUCUUUCAAAUGUCUGCCUUAUCAACUGUCGACGGUAGGUUCGACGCCUACCGUGGUGGUAACGGGUAACGGGGAAUCAGGGUUCGAUUCCGGAGAGGGAGCCUGAGAAACGGCUACCACAUCCAAGGAAGGCAGCAGGCGCGCAAAUUACCCACUCCCAGCUCGGGGAGGUAGUGACGAAAAAUAACGAUACGGGACUCAUUUGAGGCCUCGUAAUCGGAAUGAGUACACUUUAAAACCUUGGUCACACGAGGAUCAAUUGGAGGGCAAGUCUGGUGCCAGCAGCCGCGGUAAUUCCAGCUCCAAUAGCGUAUAUUAAAGUUGUUGCGGUUAAAAAGCUCGUAGUCGGAUCUGUGUCUUCGCGGCGUUGAACCACUGAGUGUCUGCUGCGGACAUUGUCCGCGCAGACCAAGUGUUAGUUAUCAGCGUGUCAGCGAGACGUCCUGCCGGUAGGCGGAUAUGCGCUUGGUCAGCCUGUUAAAAGGCGCAAGCGGCAGCCGCCGUUCAAUCCUACUUGUGCGCGUUUCCUCGCGGAUUCGCGUACAACGGGCCGGCACGUUUACUUUGAACAAAUUAGAGUGCUCAAAGCAGGCUCAAACGUGGCCGGGCGCGCGCAAGCGUGCUCGGUCGUAUAGCCCUGAAUAUGGUCGCAUGGAAUAAUGGAACAAGACCUCGGUCUCGCCUCUACGCUGCUUGCAGCGCGUGAAAUAGCCCUCGCGGCUUUUCCGUGCGCAGGUCGCCGUCUGAAGUCACGCGUUCGCGUCCGCCCUUUGUUGGCGCGGGUUACGCAACGUCGUGGUAUACUUCAUUCGUUGGCCGGUUUUCGAGAUCAGAGGUAAUGAUCAACAGAGAUAGGCGUGGGCAUUCGUACCGCGACGUUAGAGGUGAAAUUCUUGGAUCGUCGCGUGACGAACCGAAGCGAAAGCAUUUGCCAAGUAUAUUCUCGUCUGAUCAAGAACGAAAGUUAGAGGUUCGAAGGCGAUCAGAUACCGCCCUAGUUCUAACCGUAAACGAUGCCAGCUAGCGAUCCGCUGAUGUUCCUCCGAUGACUCAGCGGGCAGCUUCCGGGAAACCGAAGCUUUUCGGUUCCGGGGGAAGUAUGGUUGCAAAGCUGAAACUUAAAGGAAUUGACGGAAGGGCACCACCAGGAGUGGAGCCUGCGGCUUAAUUUGACUCAACACGGGAAACCUCACCAGGCCCGGACACCGGAAAGAUUGACAGAUUGAGAGCUCUUUCUUGAUUCGGUGGGUGGUGGUGCAUGGCCGUUCUUAGUUGGUGGAGCGAUCUGUCUGGUUAAUUCCGAUAACGAACGAGACUCUGUCCUGCUAAAUAGGCGGGUUUUCUGUCGCCUGCCGAUUCGGUAUGCGGCGUUUACGCCGCGUGCCGGUCGGCAGUCAACGACGGAACGAUAUCCUCGAAAGCGGUCGGCUGUCGUAAGUGACGUUUGCGCUGUUGCGGUCGCUUGUUUCGGCAGGUGGCUGCAGCAUGUGCGGGCGUUACCCGACAGUUUGGCUGCCAAUGGGCUAUCGCCGGCUGAUAAAGCUUAAACUCUUCUUAGAGGGACAGGCGGCGGACAAAACUAGCCGCACGAGACUGAGCGAUAACAGGUCUGUGAUGCCCUUAGAUGUUCUGGGCCGCACGCGCGCUACACUGAAGGAAUCAGCGUGUACCUUCAUCCUGGGCUGAGAAGCAUUACCAGGUAAUCCGCUGAACCUCCUUCGUGAUAGGGAUCGGGGCUUGCAAUUGUUCCCCGUGAACGAGGAAUUCCCAGUAAGCGCGAGUCAUCAGCUCGCGUUGAUUACGUCCCUGCCCUUUGUACACACCGCCCGUCGCUACUACCGAUUGAACGACCGCAGUGAGGUCUUCGGAUCGAGGUACGGCGACGUUCGCGUCGAUUUGUACAUUCGAGAAGAUGACCGAACUCGGCCGUUUAGAGGAAGUAAAAGUCGUAACAAGGUUUCCGUAGGUGAACCUGCGGAAG
rnacentral:rRNA from 1 species